rnacentral:rRNA from 1 species
CUGCAACUCUGUGGAAACACGGAGCCUCCCUUCGGGGACAGUAGUCGAGGUGCUGCACGGCUGUCGUCAGCUCGUGUCGUGAGAUGUUGGGUUAAGUCCCGCAACGAGCGCAACCCUCGUCCUGUGUUACCAAAAAUUGGGACUCGCAGGAGACCGCCAGCGACAAGUUGGAGGAAGGUGGGGACGACGUCAAGUCAUCAUGGCCUUUAUGUCCAGGGCUACACACGUGCUACAAUGGUCGGUACAACGGGUUGCGAGGUCGCGAGGCUGAGCUAAUCCCUAAAAGCCGUCCCCAGUUCGGAUUGCAGGCUGCAACUCGCCUGCAUGAAGGUGGAAUCGCUAGUAAUGGCGUAUCAGAAUGACGCCGUGAAUACGUUCCCGGGCCUUGUACACACCGCCCGUCACAUCACGAAAGUGGAUUGUACUAGAAGUCCGCAAGCUAACUUCGGAGGCAGCGGCCCACGGUAUGAUUCAUGAUUGGGGUGAAGUCGUAACAAGGUAGCCGUAGGAGAACCUGCGGCUGGAUCACCUCCUUAUAAA